AUAGCACAACCUUUUACAUGGUGUUGCCAGGUUUUAUUAUCCUCCACACGUGUUGAUAUGUAAGGGAAGCAAUCGUGGCGGCCUAUGUAGGAAGUUUCUCAAGAAACCCAAAAUGGGCUUAUUAGCUCUUAAAAUCUAGGCCCAACAACCUAAUAGGCCCAAAUACAGGUACCCUAAUUUCUCCAUUCUCGCACUAUAAAUUCCAACCUCCUUCAUUCUGCAUCCAUCAAUAUUUCAUCAAAUUUCAAAGCUGCUCCAAAUCCCAUCAAAGAAGAAGCUUUGCGGUUUCACCACCUAAAUUGCAUGUGUUUGCGUAUAUGUCUCAGAUACUUGUGUGACCAUGUUCAAUAUAAUUUCAAACACAUGCAAUCUGUGAUGAUGUGUAUGAGGGAGAUCACAUCAACAUUCAUCCAAAACAACUUAGGAACUUUCUUCUUGUAAGUUUGUUCUUUGGUUGUUUUGGGUGAAUGUUGAUGUGUGGGCUUGGAAAGUUGGUUUGUUAGCCAAUACACAAGUUCUAUUUUUGUUCAAUGAAUUCAUCUCAUCAUGCAUGAUUGAUAAUUGUUUUUUUUUAAGAAAUCCUUGCUUCUGACAGGUUCAGAGUAUGCUUUAUGGUUUAGGUUCCUCACUAUCAAUUUUUAUGCAUUUAACACAAUAUAUUCUACUGCCACACCAAGUUUGAAUUCAUGGACGAACUCAACAUUGAAGCUAAGGAUACAUCAAGUUUGAAUUGAUGGUCAAACUCAGCAGUGAAGCCUAGGAUGGCAUGUCAAAUAGCUUUGGAUACAUAUCUUGGGAGUGAUGACAACAAUUAUAUUAAUUCACUCUAGAUGAAGUAUAGAACUAUUAGUUUUUGGAUACAUUGAGUAUGAUACAAUUGUGAUGAAUUACCAUAAUUUGAAAAUAUAACUAUCAGUUUGAGUAA